GCCGGGCUGGUGGAAGUGGUAGACACACGGGACUUAAAAUCCUGGGGACUUCGGUCCGUGCGGGUUCGAGUCCCGCGUCCGGCACCA
rnacentral:tRNA from 2 species